AAGCUUGCUUUCGUCCCGCCGGCGACCGGCGCACGGGUGAGUAACACGUAUGGAACCUGCCCGCAGCAGGGGGAUAAUCGGGGAAACCCCGUCUAAUACCGCGUAACGACCCGGAGGGGCAUCCCUUCGGGUCCAAAGGUUUACCGGCUGCGGAUGGCCAUGCGUCGCAUUAGCUUGUUGGCGGGGUAACGGCCCACCAAGGCGACGAUGCGUAGGGGUUCUGAGAGGAAGGUCCCCCACACUGGUACUGAGACACGGACCAGACUCCUACGGGAGGCAGCAG
rnacentral:rRNA from 1 species